CACAGCCCACGUAUAAUUACACGUAAGCGCAAUCAUCCAUCGGAUUACCCCCACACUCCUUUACAAAAGAGGACCGACCAUAUUGAAUCAAAUUUAUGACCCAUAUCACUUAAGAGGGGGAUGAUACGCAUUUAAGCCACACACACACACACACACACACACACACAUAAUCAAUCAAUACGCAUACAAGUAUUAGUGGAGACACCCACGGAGCCAUACUUAGUAAUGCAUGUGUGAAGGGUAUUCACGAGUACUAUCGGUAAUCAUUAGUCAAUGUGGGCAAACCAGGAUGAGUCAAUGAGGCAUAGAACUGGCUUGCUAAGAAUGAGCCUAAGUACAGGAUUGUUGGAUAUACACGUACACUCCCCCCACAGUCUACUACAUUCCUGAUACCCACCACAAGAAUGUUUGAUGAGUAAUGGGCCAAUGGUGGCCUUGCUGUAGUUGUCAGGGCUCAGGGUUAGAGUGAAGAUAUUUGGUUCAAUACGUAAAGGCUUAUAGUCCAGAGGCUUUUGAUGGUGCUAAGUGAGGGCAUAACAGCUAAAAAGGCUACAAGGCUUUGACAGAAAGACAUGGAAUGUGGAUUGACAGAAAAAUUUCCUUUUUUUCAGUAAAUGACAAAAUAUUUUAGCUCAAUAUCAGAAUAACAACCAAAAAAGUAUAAAAGGGACAAAUUUGUGCAUCAAAAAGUAUUAGGCAGAUUGAACAAACACAUGGAAGUCAUGUCAAUGUAGUUGAAUCAAAGUCAGACAUACAGUAUAGUUAAUCCUAUUCUCUAGUGUAUCUCUUUCCACUUCACUUCUCAAUUAAUGAUAAUUAUUA